AGGUAUAUAUUUUGUAAAUAGGUAAGGAUACUCUCCUUUCCAUACUAAUCCAUACUAAAUCCAAAUUAACAUGAUAGCAGCUCCGGGUGAUUUAUGUUAUAAUAAAUAACAGCAACCGUGUGCCGCUUAGCUGAUGAUUAAUGAUCCUUAUUUACAGUGUGUUCAGCUCAGGUCUGCAGGUUACACUUGCAAACAUCAAAGGAGAGUUCAGCUUUCCUUUUCUUCUGCAUUUUGAGGCCACGUCGUAAAUCCCGGACGAGCUGCCUUGACGGCUGUGUUUUAAUCCACAAAUAGGAUUGCUACAAACUGCCAAAGAAACACCAUUCUGACCUGACAGCUACGGGGUGGUUUCCCUUUGGCCAGGGGCAGAGCUGGCUGCUCCAGCCUCUGCAGGGAAGGGUGCUGGAACUGGUGGCUGCCGAUGUCAUCACAGCCUCCCCUCCAAGUUAUCAGGCUCUGUCACUCCAACGUACCAUGGUGUAAGCACCAAACCCUGUGUUUGUCCUCUGAUUUCCCUAUAAUCCCUCCGAGGGAAGAGUGGGAUGCUUUGUGAUACCAACAGCUCCCCUCCCAGAGCCAGUGCACAGCCCCAGCCCUGCACCCACGCUGCCCCAUCCUGCUGAAGGGACCACCCAGCCCUGAGCUGCCCAAGCCCAACAGGCUCCUUUUUCCUGCCCCACUCUGCAAACAGGCCCAUGGGGAUGGCAAAGCCCAGUGGCACAGACCCUCCUGUUUUCAUCAGAUGCGUGCUGAGCACACAUUCAGAGGAAUGUCACAGCCUGGAUGGAUGGAAAAACAGCUUCCCAUUUCCUAAGGUGAUUUCAAGAACUUGUAUAACCACCUGGGCUGGUGUGCUCCCUUACAUAGCCCAAGCGAGCUCACCUUGUGAUUUCUGCUUGAGCCAGAGCUCAGAAAUGCCAGAGGGGGUGGGAGGGAAGUACAGCACAGCAGCUUUGAUUUAUCAGGCUGAUGAGUAAUAAGGAAACUUAGCCUCUCCCAUUUACCUUGGCAGGAGAAGGGGUGCUAUAUUGUUCAGAGGGACACUGUAUUAGUGUCAUGUGUGAGCUGGUUUCAAGCCUUGAAAUCACCCCUGUAGGAUAUUCACAGGGGAAAAAUAACCCCUAUAACAUCUAGACUCUCCAAGGGAGCUGUGAAGGUUUCUUGCUCUCACAAGUCAGGUCUGAAGCCCCACUGACACCCAAUAAUUACAUUUUUCUGUGUGGUGGCAGAAUUAUGUCAUCCUGGCACAUGGGAUUUCUGGAAUGGUUGCAAUCUGAACUCGAUGUGAAACUGCAUGCCUUGGCUCUGCUGCUUCCAUUGUCAGGAAAGGCAGGGCAGCAGGCAUGGAGCAAACCAUCCCAUUCUUCCUCCAGCUGGCCACAGCUGAGCCUUCUCGAACAUCUCUGUCCCUGCAGGUAUCUGGGGGCCCAGCUCUGGCACAUUAAGGACCUUUGGAGGUUGCACAGUCUUGGACCCUGCCUGGUUUUCAGCCCAAAUCCUCCCAGUGAAGGUCCCCAUUGCUUAAAUGUCGUGGUAUUCCCUAAUCCUGCUCGAUUUCACACAUCCCAGUUUGUAAUGCAACCCUGGGGAGCAGGAGGCUCCCUCAGACAGAGCAUCAGGGUAGUUUGUAACGAACAUACAAGCUUUGCCUUUGCUGCCAUCCACCGAUGCAUGGCAAAGAGCUGAUUAUAGGGGAAAAAAGCCACUUAUGAGUCUGUAAUGAGGGUGGUCAAAUGCUGAAGGUGCAGAAAGCAGGUUAAAGGAGAGGCCUCACUGCCCACGUGAGGGAGGAGACCCGUACAGCCACUCCAGUAUGUUCACACAGAGGGUUAUCGCAGCGUGAAGCACCAGCCCGUGAAUAAACGCUCCCUUUGCGGCUCUGCCCUCCUUGGAGAGGCUUUGAUAAUUCCUAGGGAGGCUCUGAGGGCUCAUAAAAAGAAUGAAUAAGGAAGUGAGCCUGAGCAAUCGCUCUGUUCCUCUUUACAGCAAGCCUGGAGCUGCCCCUGCCUGGCUGCUCAGGUACGGCGUCGAUUUCCCGGGUUCCUGGAGCAGAACGGAUUCAGCAGCUCCACAGCCUGCUUUGCAGUGAUGGAUGGGAAUGAUUAUCAUUGUUAAUCCCACUAAGCCUACGGUCUCAACUUUUGAGGGUGCUUAAAGGAACACUUGAGGAGGAGCACGUGAAGAUGUGUGGAGCACCUGCUCUGUACCCCUGUCAGUAUUGACCUGAGGGCACUGUCUGCUGCAAGGAUUUUAAACAGGAAUAGUUCAGAGCAGCCAGACUGUAGGCUUUGACAGGGACUUGGACUAAUGCUCCAAACGAGGACCACACUCCUGAGUCACACCCACUGGCUGCUUUGGAGGUGGUGUUAUGCUCAAGGCUACAGGUGGGAAGGAAUAACCCAGCUGGGUCUGGUUAUGGAGAGGCAGAUCAUCCCGCUUCGUCCUCCCUGUCACACACUGGAUGUGCCUCCAUUUGUCUCUGGCUGUGAAACAGCAGCACACACUGAGGCAGAGGGCUGGGUAAAACCCCUUCAGCUGGCAGCUGGGACACAGAGAGGAGAGGGCUGGGAGCUCACCCUGACCCGCUAAGGGAAGCAAGAUCCUCGAUGAUAACCCUGUCUUCACUUGGAUUUUAUCUCAUGUGUGUUACCAUAAAUUCUGUCAUGCCCUUCCUGUUUCUUUCUUUGGAGUCAGUGAAGACCUGAGCUCUUUCCAAGAGACACUUCAUUUCCACCAACAUGCUGAUCUAGUGAAAGACUUGCUGCUUAAUCUGGAGGCCGGGGUAGAGGGUGGGAUUGUUGCUUUGAGCCUCCCAGCUUGUGGGAGCACUGCCAUUUCCUGCUCUCGCCUCCCAGCACGGGGCCCUCACCACUGCUCUCCCUGGCAAUGGCCUGUUUCCAGCGGUGUCUUCCAGCAGCAAUCAGCACUGAACUGGGGGCUGCAUGCCCAGGAACCAAGCACUGGGGAGCAGUGCCUGGUUUCAAGCGUUGCUCCGUGGGUUGCAAGCACAAGUAUCUGUUUCCUCCAUCCUGAGCUCCAUGUGGCCGCUGUAACUCUCCCAUUUUGGCACGUGCCAGCGUGCGGGUGCUGCAGGAUUGUAACAUGGCGUGGGUCAGGCUCCGGUCCCAAAAUACUGAUACCCCUUGGGGUGGUUUUGUGCAGCUUCCCCCCUGCCACAGAUGUUUUGAGGAGCCUGGUCUGGCCCAAAAUGGGCUGCAGUCCCUCUGCUGCUCCCCAGCACCAUGAGGCUGAUCGUCCUGCCUCACACCAGCACCAUGGACACAAGUGGUGGGACGAACAGAGCCAACAGCACACGCUGGCUGUGCCCCUUACUAAUGUUGUUCUUACUAUUUUAGUGCCAUCUUCCUUCUUUCCACCCUCUCCCUGAACAACUAAAUUAAUUAGAGUGGGUUUUUUUUAUUUAAAUACUGUCAUGGAAUAAUAAUCUUAGUGAAUUCAAUUUUUGUUUUGUCAUUCCCCACUGCUUCUUUUCUCUGUUGUGCUCUCUUUUAAUAUGCUGCUGAUACUUUGUUAUAGCUAUGCAAGAUCACAGCUGUUGUCUGAAAAAAAAAGAGAGUAAAAUCAUGUUAUGUGCUGUUGCCAUCCAAACCCCAUUUUUCUUCCUCCAGCAGCUCACAAAAUAACCCUUCCCCUAUUAAGUGCAGAGGCAUACAUUUUUCUUGGCUUGUAAAAAGCUAGAAAGUCUCAUAGCAGAUUCAGUGAAGCUGCAGCAGUGGAAGGAAGUCAAAGCUUCUACAACAGGCUGGGGCACAUCCUGAGCCUAUUAUGAGCUUGGAUUCUGCAAAUUCUAGAUCCGAGCAGUGACUCCACAGAGGCAGCAGGUCUGUGGGCACCACCAGCUCCUGUGCUUUACUAGCCACUGAGUUUUGUUUACCUGGAUGUGUUAAUUUGACCUGUAAACAUGUUUUCUGAAAGGACCCAGUAACAAAACCACUCCUGCAGCUCUCCUGAAAGGACAAAAAAAAUCCCAUUAGACCCUGAAUUUAUAUUUACAGUAUUUUGCUUAACAUUGGCCCUUCUGGACAGCUUUCCUCGGCCCUGCCAGGCCCUCUCUGACCCUUUGAAGUCAGCCCUCGGUGGUCACUGGCAGCGAGACCAAAGCUAAGCAAGGAUCAAGCUGUAGAAGCACCUGCUCUCAUCAACAGCACAAAGCCGUAAAUGAGGGAGAGCCAGGAUGGAGAUUUGAGUUGUUGUCUCAAGUCCACAGUUCCAAUUACAAAACUGACUUCAAUCAGCCUCACAAUGCACACAACCAGUCCUGAAAUUCCUCCUUGACUCCCUGACCCUGUUCAGCACCUGCCCUGCCUACACCUCAUGUCUGUAACGUGUCAGAGCAGUUCUAAAUGAAGCUCGGUUGAGGCCCGUGCCGUUCCAUUUAACACAUGGGGGCUGUGUGACCGCUCUGGCAGGGCUUGCCCCAGCACUGCUGCCUCUAACAAGGGUUAUGAGAGUGGCUGAGGUGAAAUUGCAUCAAAGGAGUGAGAUGAAAAGCUUGUUUUCUCCCCGGACUGCAGCUCCUGGAGAGGAGCCGUGCCGUGGUGCACAGAGCGCUGCCGGGUCAGUGUGUUCAGCAGUCUUACCUCCCUGUCCAGGCCAGAGGGAGGAGGGAGCUCGUUGGCUGCUUGGGUUUUUUGGAAAGCAGAGUUAUGUAAAGCAAAAAUUUCUGAGGGGAUCCAGAGAGGACUGACAAGGCACCUGCCAUGACACCCACAGGGGAAGAUGACAGUGAGCGCUAAAGACAGGGGAGUGACCCCGUCCUUCCCGGGCCGUGCACAGCCUGCUGACAACCCCUCAGACACAUCCUCAGCAGCUGCCUUUUAGUCCAGGCUCCGCAUUCCUGGCCACCCCUGGAACCACAAUGGGCCCUGCUCAGGGAGACAAGAGGUGAUGAGAAGCCUGCAGCUGGUGUGCAGAGGCAGGAUAGUAUCAGCUUGCAUGUGUUUUGCCUCGGAAUUGAGGCUGGAGCAUGUCCCACACCUGAAAGGGACAGGAUGAAUGUGAGGCUCUGCAGGGAACAGGGAUGUUUGUAAUGUGGCACAAAAGGUAAUUCAGCCCCUGGUGACGUGAUAUACAACCACCUUGCCAGAUGCUUCAACCCCCCAAACAGUUGUAAGUGCUUCUCCAUGGGCCUCAGUUAAAUUCCCUCCAGGAUGUAAACUCGGGCUUGUUUGGACCAAUACCUACAGACUUGAUUGCAACAGCAGAUGGUUUAUUUCUACCUGCAAGUGAAAACGGGGAGUGUAUAUCACGGCCCUGACACAUUUCACAUGGAGCAGAUGUUUCUAUUAAUGCCAGAAUUGGGUGGAAAUUCAAAGGAUGCUUUUUGCUUUUUUUUCCCUCCUCAAAACUAUUUUACUCAAUUAAAUUGCAACUUGCUGAAGUAUUCCAAUGAAUCACUUCCCUUUUUUUUUUUUUUUUUGUUUGAUUAGUAGGCUCUAAAGGGACAAAAGAAUAGCUUUGUAUCAGUCUCCCUCAAUUACAUGUAAAGUACAUCUGGACAGAGUCUGAAGAUCCAUCUUUCACUGGCAGUUGCAAAGCCAUCGACAUAAUAAAAUAAUACUCUGAUUGGUA